rnacentral:rRNA from 1 species
AACGAACGCUGGCGGCAUGCCUAACACAUGCAAGUCGAACGAAACCUUCGGGUCUAGUGGCGCACGGGUGCGUAACGCGUGGGAACCUGCCCUUAGGUUCGGAAUAACUCCCCGAAAGGGGUGCUAAUACCGGAUAAUUUCUUCGGACCAAAGAUUUAUCGCCUUUGGAUGGGCCCGCGUUUGAUUAGCUAGUUGGUAGGGUAAAAGCCUACCAAGGCGACGAUCCAUAGCUGGUCUGAGAGGAUGAUCAGCCACACUGGGACUGAGACACGGCCCAGACUCCUACGGAAGGCAGCAGUGGGGAAUAUUGGACAAGGGGCGAAAGCCUGACCAAGCAAUGCCGCGUGAGUGAGGAAGGCCUUAGGGUUGUAAAGCUCUUUUACCCGGGAUGAUAAUGACAGUACCGGGAGAAUAAGCUCCGGCUAACUCCGUG